rnacentral:rRNA from 1 species
GCGCGAAAACUUUACAAUGCGGGAAACCGUGAUAAGGGAAUCUCGAGUGCCAGCAUAUAAUGUUGGCUGUCCAGAUGCCUAAAAAGCAUCUGUUAGCAAGGGCCGGGCAAGACCGGUGCCAGCCGCCGCGGUAACACCGGCGGCCCGAGUGGUAACCGCUUUUAUUGGGUCUAAAGGGUCUGUAGCCGGCCAAGUAAGUCCCUUGGGAAAUCUGGCAGCUCAACUGUCAGGCUGCUAGGGGAUACUGCUAGGCUUGGGACCGGGAGAGGUGAGAGGUACCUUGGGGGUAGGGGUGAAAUCUUGUGAUCCUCGGGGGACCACCAGUGGCGAAGGCGUCUCACCAGAACGGGUCCGACGGUAAGGGACGAAAGCUAGGGGCACGAACCG